ensembl:lncRNA
GAAGAAUGCAAAAAGGCCAAAGCCUGGAGUUCACUGCAGAGUCCAGUGAGCCCGUGUUGGAAAGCCCGACAGUCUUCAUUGGAAGGCUGAAGAGUCUGCACUGGACACCUGGACACAGAUGUUCAAAAGCAAUGGCAAAGACUGGAGCUCCUCCAAAGAAGCAAAAGCAAAACUUCUUUCCCUUUUUAUUCCUUCCAGUCUACAAGUCCAUUGUUUGGUGCCACUCACAUCCAGGAUAAAUCUUCCCUUUUCAGUAAGUUAGUCGUCCAGACACACCCAGAAAUGUGCUAAACUAAUCUGCUAGGCAUUUGCUAUUCAAGUUGACACCACAACAAACUCUCACACUUAGGCACUUAAUAAACAUUCACUGGAUAAAUACAUGAAUAAAUGCAUGAAUAAACUUCAUAGCGUUAUGGCAGUAGCUAUAUUAUUGGCAUAGCAUUAUGGCUAGUAAUGGCAAAUGAAACCUUGGAUUAGAUAAUUAUAUAUAUGUUUCAUUAGAUUCAGUGUUUUAAGGGGUAUUCAAGAAGUUUACAUUAGGUUUUAUGUUUUAAGGGGUAUUCAAAAAGUUUUACAAUAUUUUAGUAGUUCUGGAUUAUGUUUUAAAACCAGUUAAAUUAUAACUGAUCUUUGUUCAAUAUCACUCUCCACUAGCGGUCUUUAGCCAUUGGAAGUUCUACAAAUUUCAUAAGAAGUUAAAUAAUGAUAUGACUAUUAAAGAAAUCCCUUGAACCUGCAGGCUAGUGUUUUAGAUCUUAUAAGUCUUCUUCCUUCUUAUUCACCUAUCUGCUGUUGAAAUCAUAUUACCGUGCAUACAUCACAGCUUCUUAGUAGAAAUGAACAACUGUCUUGGAUGAGAUUUUUCAAUUCAUUCCAAAGUAUUAAUAAACAUUAAAAGCCACUCAAAGCCAACAGAAAAGUCACUGGCCUUGAAAACCUACUGAAUCUAUUCAAUGAUGUAAAAAUGAUGUUACCUGGCUUAUUGAUAAAUCCAGCAAUAAAAUAAUAAAGUUCAUCAACAAAUUAUAAGACAUAUUUUAAUGUUUGUUACUAUUUAAUAGCAC